CUGGGACCCCCAUGAUUUUGGGGUAGCCCCCCAGGACUACCGUGACUUUGGGGUGCCACCUGAGACCACUGUGACUUUGGGGUAGCCCCCAAGGACCCCCAUGACUUUGGGGUAGCCCCCCAAAGACCAGCUUGACUUUAGGAUGCCCCCCAGGACCACCAUGGCUCCAGGGUUGUCCCCCAGGACCCCCAUGGCUCUGGGGUCCCCCCAGGCCCACCAUGACUUUGGGGUGCCCCCUGGUUCCACCAUGACUUUGCAGUGCCCCCAAGACCACCAUGGCUCCGGGGUAGCCCCCCAAAGACCCCUAUGACUUUGGGGUGACCCCCGGGACCACCAUGGGUCAGGGGUAGCCCUGAGGACCCCCAUGACUUUGAGGGUGUCCCCCAGGACCACCAUGGCUCUGGGGUGCCCCCCAAAGACCCCCAUGACUUUGGGGUGCCCCCAAGGACCCCCAUGGCUCUGGGGUAGCCCCCCAGGACCCCCAUGACUUUGGGGUGCCCCCCAGGACCCCCAUGGCUUCAGGGUUGCCCUGAGGACCACGGUGACUUUGGUAUGCCCCCCAGGACCACCUUGACUCUGGGGUAGCCCCCUGGGACCACUGUGACUUUGGGGUGACCCUGAGGACCCCCAUGACUCCACAGUGCCCCCCGAGGACCCUGAUGACUUUGGGGUAGCCCUUGGGACCACCAAUGGCUUUGGGAUGCCCCCCAGGACCACCAUGACUUCGGGGUGCCCCCGAUGACCCCCAAAUCUCCGGGGUGACCCCAUCACGGCCUUCCAGUACCACCACUAACCCCCCUCUCCCCCCCUGGCCCCCCCCCCCCCCCCCCCCCAGAGGUGCAGUUCCGCCCGUACCGCACGGACGACUUCAUCACGCGGCUGUACUACGAGACGCCGCGCCUGACGGUCCUCAACCAAACCUGGGUGCUGAAGGCGCGCGUCAACGACUCGGAGCGCAACCCCAACCUCUCCUGCAAGCGCACCCUGUCCUUCCAGCUCAUCCUCAAGAGCAAGGUCAACUCGCCGCUCGAGUGCUCCUUCCUCCUCCUCGAGGGGCCCUACGACGACGUCAAGAUCAAGCCGAUCCAGAAGUAGGCG
rnacentral:lncRNA from 1 species